GACGAACGCUGGCGGCGUGCUUAACACAUGCAAGUCGAGCGGUAAGGCCCUUCGGGGUACACGAGCGGCGAACGGGUGAGUAACACGUGAGCAAUCUGCCCUUCACUUUGGGAUAACCACCGGAAACGGUGGCUAAUACCGGAUAUGACCGCCUCGGGCAUCUGGGGUGGUGGAAAGUUCUGGCGGUGGAGGAUGAGCUCGCGGCCUAUCAGCUUGUUGGUGGGGUGAUGGCCUACCAAGGCGACGACGGGUAGCCGGCCUGAGAGGGUGACCGGCCACACUGGGACUGAGACACGGCCCAGACUCCUACGGGAGGCAGCAGUGGGGAAUAUUGGACAAUGGGCGAAAGCCUGAUCCAGCAACGCCGCGUGAGGGAUGACGGCCUUCGGGUUGUAAACCUCUUUCAGUACCGACGAAGCGCAAGUGACGGUAGGUACAGAAGAAGCACCGGCCAACUACGUGCCAGCCGCCGCCGUAAGAC
rnacentral:rRNA from 1 species